GAAGGAGAAGUGAGCUACAGGUGUCUCACCGCAGAACAGGACAGGCACAGAGAGCGGCGGACCCAGGCCGCCGGAGGCUCACCGAGAGACGAAGGAACACCGAGAGCCAUCGCCGCAGUGACAGAGAGGGGGGGCCGACCUCUUCUGCGCCCCUGCUGACCCCGCUUGCCGGUCACUCCGCGCGGUCAGCGCCAUGAAGGGGCAGGCCCUCUCGCUGGGGCUCGCCACGGUCAUGCUGGUCGUGCUGCUGUACAAGCAGUUCGAGCAGGAGAUGGACCUGCGGGCGGUGCAGGGCCUGGUGCUGACGCUGGAGGAGAAGAUGCAGAGCAAGCAGGACGAGAUCGAGCGGACCAGAGCCAGCAUCCGGAACGUCCAGGUCGAGGAGGAGGCCAUGAAGAAGACCUCGGUGGAGCUGGACGCCAAGAAGGACGACCGGACUGCCAAGCUGGGGAAGGAGAAGGCCAGCUUCGACGCCUGCCAGGCCCAGAAGAAAGAGGCGCAGGAUAAGAAGAAAGCAGCGCAGGAUCAGCUGCAGGAGUUCAAGGGUGAGGCUCUGGGUCCGAGGGGGGCGACUGAGUCAGGGGUACAGGAACGCAGGGGGUGCUCCAGCACAAGCUCAGACAGUAGGAGCUGA
rnacentral:lncRNA from 1 species